rnacentral:misc_RNA from 1 species
GGCUGAUAACAUUACUCCGCCGUAAGCUCAAGAUUCUAUUAUGUGCAUGUUGUGUGCGUCCAUUUGAAGUUUCUCUUAUUUUAAUUUUUUUGUAUAUGAACGCACACGUAUCUGCUACCUCUAGGAUAAAACAUCUAGAAUUUUUAAUUUCUUAUGAUUCAUUUAUCUUUUUUCUUAUGGGAAUGCUAGGCAACUAAUAAUUUAUCUUAAUGAG